GAUGAACGCUGGCGGCGUGCUUAACACAUGCAAGUCGAACGAUGAAGCCCAGCUUGCUGGGUGGAUUAGUGGCGAACGGGUGAGUAACACGUGAGUAACCUGCCCUUAACUCUGGGAUAAGCCUGGGAAACUGGGUCUAAUACCGGAUAGGAGCGCCUACCGCAUGGUGGGUGUUGGAAAGAUUUAGCGGUUUUGGGUGGACUGGCGGCUUAUCAGCUUGUUGGUGGAGUAAUGGCUCACCAAGGCGACGACGGGUAGCCGGCCUGAGAGGGUGAACGGCCACACUGGGACUGAGACACGGAGCAGACUCCAACGGGAGGCAGCAGUGGGGAGUAUUGCACAAUGGGCGAAAGCCUGAUGCGGCGACGCCGCGUGUGGGAUGACGGCCUUCGGGUUGUAAACCUCUUUCAGUAGGGAGGAAGCGAAAGUGACGGUACCUGAAGAAGAAGCACCGGCUAACUACGUG
rnacentral:rRNA from 1 species